CUUGCUUCUCUUGAGAGCGGCUGACGGGUGAGUAAUGCCUAGGAAUCUGCCUGGUAGUGGGGGAUAACGUUCGGAAACGGACGCUAAUACCGCAUACGUCCUACGGGAGAAAGCAGGGGACCUUCGGGCCUUGCGCUAUCAGAUGAGCCUAGGUCGGAUUAGCUAGUUGGUGGGGUAAUGGCUCACCAAGGCGACGAUCCGUAACUGGUCUGAGAGGGUGAUCAGUCACACUGGAACUGAGACACGGUCCAGACUCCUACGGGAGGCAGCAGUGGGGAAUAUUGGACAAUGGGCGAAAGCCUGAUCCAGCCAUGCCGCGUGUGUGAAGAAGGUCUUCGGAUUGUAAAGCACUUUAAGUUGGGAGGAAGGGUUGUAGAUUAAUACUCUGCAAUUUUGACGUUACCGACAGAAUAAGCACCGGCUAACUCUGUGCCAGCAGCCGCGGUAAUACAGAGGGUGCAAGCGUUAAUCGGAAUUACUGGGCGUAAAGCGCGCGUAGGUGGUUUGUUAAGUUGGAUGUGAAAUCCCCGGGCUCAACCUGGGAACUGCAUUCAAAACUGACUGACUAGAGUAUGGUAGAGGGUGGUGGAAUUUUCCUGUGUAGCCGGUUGAAAUGCGUAAAAUAUAUGAGGGGACCACCAGUGGCGAAGCGACCACCUGGACUAAUACUGACACUGAGGUGCGAAAAGCGUGGGGAGCAAACAGGAUUAGAUACCCUGGUUAGUCCACGCCGUAAACGAAUGUCAACUAGCCGUUGGAAAGCCUUUGAGCUUUUAGUGGCCGC
rnacentral:rRNA from 1 species